rnacentral:rRNA from 1 species
GUCGACGGUAGAGGGGGCAACCUCUCGAGAGUGGCGAACGGGUGAGUAAUAUAUCGGAACGUGCCCAGUCGUGGGGGAUAACGUAGCGAAAGUUACGCUAAUACCGCAUACGAUCUACGGAUGAAAGCGGGGGAUCGCAAGACCUCGCGCGAUUGGAGCGGCCGAUAUCAGAUUAGGUAGUUGGUGGGGUAAAGGCUCACCAAGCCAACGAUCUGUAGCUGGUCUGAGAGGACGACCAGCCACACUGGAACUGAGACACGGUCCAGACUCCUACGGGAGGCAGCAGUGGGGAAUUUUGGACAAUGGACGCAAGUCUGAUCCAGCCAUUCCGCGUGCAGGAUGAAGGCCCUCGGGUUGUAAACUGCUUUUGUACGGAACGAAAAGGCUCUUCCUAAUACGGGGGGCUCAUGACGGUACCGUAAGAAUAAGCACCGGCUAACUACGUGCCAGCAGCCGCGGUAAUACGUAGGGUGCAAGCGUUAAUCGGAAUUACUGGGCGUAAAGCGUGCGCAGGUGGUUAUGUAAGACAGAGGUGAAAUCCCCGGGCUCAACCUGGGAACUGCCUUUGUGACUGCAUAGCUAGAGUACGGUAGAGGGGGAUGGAAUUCCGCGUGUAGCAGUGAAAUGCGUAGAUAUGCGGAGGAACACCGAUGGCGAAGGCAAUCCCCUGGACCUGUACUGACGCUCAUGCACGAAAGCGUGGGGAGCAAACAGGAUUAGAUACCCUGGUAGUCCACGCCCUAAACGAUG